ACUGUAAAGGAAAGGUGAAAUAGAAUUUGUGAAUUUGCAAUAGAACCUGAAACUUAAUGCUGGCAAGCAGUUGGAGCUUUAUAAAGUGACAACGUACCUUUUGCAUAAUGGAUCAACUAGUUUAUUUAAGUGGCGAGCUUAAAUUAUUAUUAAUGUAGGCAAAAAAAAAUUGAGUGUUAAAAGACAUUUUAGUCUCUUAAAUAAGACCCGAAACUAAGUGAUCUAACCAUGAGCAGGUUGAAUUUUUAGCGGUAACGCUGAUUGAAGGACCGAACCCGUAUAUGUGGAAAAAUAUUGGGAUGACUUGUGGUUAGGGGUGAAAGGCCAAUCAAACCGGGAAAUAGCUGGUUCUCC
rnacentral:rRNA from 1 species